CAACACACUACGUGCGACCUGUGUGUUAGACGUGUACAACCCUAGUUUCACAGAAAAAUAUUUAUUUCAUAGAUAUCAUAUGCCAUGGCAUGCUUUUUGCUAUGAAACCGCAGCCAUCUAGUCACUCGCCAGAGAAGGAUGAGAAACUGCACCCCAGCGAGAGGGACUGCCCCACAUCUGCAACCAAAUCCGUCGGUCACCGCAUUCAAUAAUCUCCGU